CAGCAGCCGCGGGAAUACGUAGGGUGCGAGCGUUGAUCGGAAUUACUGGGCGUAAAGCGUGCGCAGGCGGUUGUGUAAGACAGGUGUGAAAUCCCCGGGCUUAACCUGGGAACUGCGCUUGUGACUGCACAGCUAGAGUAUGGCAGAGGGGGGUGGAAUUCCACGUGUAGCAGUGAAAUGCGUAGAGAUGUGGAGGAACACCGAUGGCGAAGGCAGCCCCCUGGGCCAAUACUGACGCUCAUGCACGAAAGCGUGGGGAGCAAACAGGAUUAGAUACCCCGGUAGUCCCUGUCUCUUAUAC
rnacentral:rRNA from 1 species